rnacentral:rRNA from 1 species
GACGAACGCUGGCGGCGUGCCUAAUACAUGUAAGUAGAACGCACAGUUUAUACCGUAGCUUGCUACACCAUAGACUGUGAGUUGCGAACGGGUGAGUAACGCGUAGGUAACCUGCCUGGUAGCGGGGGAUAACUAUUGGAAACGAUAGCUAAUACCGCAUAAUAUUAAUUAUUGCAUGAUAAUUAAUUGAAAGGUGCAAUUGCACCACUACCAGAUGGACCUGCGUUGUAUUAGCUAGUAGGUGAGGUAACGGCUCACCUAGGCGACGAUACAUAGCCGACCUGAGAGGGUGAUCGGCCACACUGGGACUGAGACACGGCCCAGACUCCUACGGGAGGCAGCAGUAGGGAAUCUUCGGCAAUGGACGAAAGUCUGACCGAGCAACGCCGCGUGAGUGAAGAAGGUUUUCGGAUCGUAAAGCUCUGUUGUAAGAGAAGAACGGGUGUGAGAGUGGAAAGUUCACACUGUGACGGUAUCUUACCAGAAAGGGACGGCUAACUACGUG